rnacentral:rRNA from 1 species
UACGAAGGGGGCUAGCGUUGUUCGGAAUCACUGGGCGUAAAGCGCACGUAGGCGGCUUCUUAAGUCAGGGGUGAAAUCCUGGAGCUCAACUCCAGAACUGCCUUUGAUACUGAGAAGCUUGAGUCCGGGAGAGGUGAGUGGAACUGCGAGUGUAGAGGUGAAAUUCGUAGAUAUUCGCAAGAACACCAGUGGCGAAGGCGGCUCACUGGCCCGGUACUGACGCUGAGGUGCGAAAGCGUGGGGAGCAAACAGG